rnacentral:rRNA from 1 species
GAUGAACGCUGGCGGCGUGCUUAACACAUGCAAGUCGAACGGGAAUUAUUUUAUUGAAACUUCGGUCGAUUUACUUUAAUUCUAGUGGCGGACGGGUGAGUAACGCGUGGGUAACCUGCCUUAUACAGGGGGAUAACAGUCAGAAAUGGCUGCUAAUACCGCAUCAGCGCACAGAGCUGCAUGGCUCAGUGUGAAAAACUCCGGUGGCAUAAGAUGGACCCGCGUUGGAUUAGCUGGUUGGUGGGGUAACGGCCCACCAAGGCGACGAUCCAUAGCCGGCAUGAGAGGGUGAACGGCCACAUUGGGACUGAGACACGGCCCAGACUCCUACGGGAGGCAGCAGUGGGGAAUAUUGCACAAUGGGGGAAACCCUGAUGCAGCGACGCCGCGUGAAGGAAGAAGUAUCUCGGUAUGUAAACUUCUAUCAGCAGGGAAGAUAGUGACGGUACCUGACUAAGAAGCCCCGGCUAACUACGUG